AUUUAGCAUGUGACAUACUAAUUAGGUCUUCAAGACUUAGUUCAGGACAAGUAAGCAAUGAACAAAGUUUUUGCACAAAUUGUUCUGGCUGGAAUAGAUCAGAAACAAUGGUGUAUUCUCCUUCUAGUUCUAGUCAAAUGGGACCUUCCAAAUUGAGGUGCCAUGAAAGCAAAAGAAGGUGCAAGUUUUUGCUUUCAAUCCAAAGCAUCCAAAACCCAUCAUGUUGAAAUCUUUGGGCACAGUGAAAAAUGAAAGCACAUGGUCAUGGAAACAUUGCAUCAAGCCAGAAUCAUUCAAAGUCUACAAUAGCUGUUCUUGACUUAUAUAUCCAGAAGAUAUAGAUGGUGAUUUGAAAAUCUGAAAUAGACUCCCGGGGCCCACUGGAUUGGAUUAAAAAUUUGGAAAUCUCAUUCUGAUUGUAGCAAUGUUGACAUUGAAAUCAGCCUUGAAUCUCAAUGUCACACCAACACAGAAAUUUUAAUCCAAAGGCUGCCCUACAACAGUGCUGCAAACGAACCGAACCGAAUUUGGGAGUGAUUGGACUUGUU
rnacentral:lncRNA from 1 species